GACGAACGCUGGCGGCGUGCUUAACACAUGCCAGUCGAGCGGUAAGGCCCUUCGUUGUUCGCGAGCGGGGAACGCGAGCGGAACACGAGCACGAUCUUCCCCUCACCUUGGGAUAAGGCUGGGUAACUGGGACUAAUACUGGAACCGACCUCCUACUGCUUCGGCGGGGGGGGAAAGGUUUAGCGGCGGGGGAUGGGCCCGCGGCCUAUCAGCUUGUUGGUGGGGUAGUGGUUUACCAAGGCCACGACGGGUAGCCGGCCUGAGAGGGUGACCGGCCACACUGGGACUGAGAUACGGCCCAGACUCCUACGGGAGGCAGCAGUGGGGAAUAUUGCACAAUGGGCGGAAGCCUGAUGCAGCAACGCCGCGUGAGGGAUGACGGCCUUCGGGUUGUAAACCGCUUUCGCCUGUGACGAAGCGCGAGUGACGGUAACUGGAAAAGAAGCACCGGCUAACUACGUG
rnacentral:rRNA from 1 species